GAUGAAGAACGCAGCGAAAUGCGAUACGUAAUGUGAAUUGCAGAAUUCAGUGAAUCAUCGAAUCUUUGAACGCAUAUUGCGCUCUCUGGUAUUCCGGAGAGCAUGCUUGUUUGAGUAUCAGUAAACACCUCAACUUCCAUAUCUUUUUUGAAAUGGGAGUUGGACUUGAGUGAUCCCAACGCUUUUCCUCACCGACAAGUGGCGGGUUACUUGAAAUGCAGGUGCAGCUGGACUUUUCUCUGAGCUAUAAGCAUAUCUAUUUAGUCUGCCUAAAAAACAGAUUAUUACCUUUGCUGCAGCUAACAUAAAGGAGAUUAGUUCUUGUGCUGACUGAUGCAGGAUUCACAAAGACAGGCUUCGGCCGACUUUGUAAACUCGAUCUCAAAUCAAGUAAGACUACCCGCUGAACUUAAGCAUAUCAAUAAGCGGAGGA
rnacentral:misc_RNA from 1 species